UCCAGAACAGCUGGAGUGCAGGAUAGAAAACCAAACAGAUUUCUCUUAUUUGCCUGUAUUGGCAGCCUGCUGGGUAUAAUAGCUGAAGUAAUAAGUGCAUAUGAAGCAAGUGUUCCAGCCAUCUGUGCCAUUGAGGGAUGACUACUGGGAAAAGAAACAUAUCCAAUUUAAAACUAGGAAUUAAGGGCGAGGGGAGAGUGCGGAUAUAAGCAACUCAGAAAAAUACUUCCUGUCUACCUGCUGCAAAUCUUCUGGCUGACUCAACUGGAAGUGUUAUCCAGGCAAUCUCUGGACGUGUAAUGUCAACCUGACUGGCAAAGCUAGGCAGAGCUGUACACCAAACUGUGCUGGCUACAGAGCAAAGCAACAGACCUAGGACAAGUGUAGACCUAUAUUCAAUGUGAAUUCAUUAUGCUGUUGCAGAAUAAACGGGAAACGGAAAACUGUGACAUUUGAACCAUUUUGAAGAAAUUGUCAAGAAACCAGGAUAUUGAAUAAAAUCCAGGACAUUCCUGGGAAAUCUUGGACAUCUACUUAUAAUCUUCAAGACUGUUCCCUGCUACUGUAUUUGCAGCAUAUUUAGAUACCUGCAACUUCUAAUGGGAUAUUUUGCUUUCUCAUAGCAGUAGAUAGAUGUAAAUUAUAUUUUAAAAAGCAUGGCAAUGCUUGUUUGUUUGAAACUUUUGUCAGAGCCAGGCAUCUUAUUGUUUUAUUUCGAUUCACUCAUGGGCUGUGGGUGUCACUGGCUGGGCCAGCAUUUAUUGACUGUCCAUAGUUGCCCUUGAAGAUGCAGUGGUGCACUGCCUUCUUGAACCACUGCAGUUGCUCAAUGUUUCUGAAAUAGAAGUUGAGAUAUAUUUUAAAUGAACUUUGCAUGAAGCACAACAUGAACAGGACUUUGAUAAGCUUCCUGGGACUAAGGACUUGUUUUUACACUUGUCCCUAUAUCCACUGCAUAGAUGAGAUAUCGUUGGGCCUAUUUGUCACAUUUAACAAAUACCUGAUCUUGACUGCAAGGUGGCUCGUAGCUACAAACAUUGAUUCAAGAUUCUUCAAUACGAACAUGUCCAAAGCAGCAUUACUAAAAGGAAGCAUUGGUCUACUCCUUUCUCCACUAGGAAUAUUGCAAGAUGAGCAACAACCUUUGUGAGCUGCUAUGCCCAAUCCCAUCUUUGACCUGUUUUUACUCAUGCACUGAGCAAUAGGUGCCAACAUUAUGAAAAUCGGUUGGCAUUGCAUGGUGACUUGCGGUCAGCUGAGAGCAGUGCAGAUAUUCUGGUUAGCUUGGUUUUCAAAUUAAUUAUUGUAACAAUCUAAUAGCAAUUUUUACAUUCACAUUGGCAU